AAACAACUUCAGUUAUUUAAAUAAUUCAAUAAUGUUUUAAUCUAUGUCAGUAUAAAGCAUCACUGAUUAGCUAUUGGAUAAUUAAGAAAGCAAAAAUGAAACACAGGAAUAUCACACAGGUAGAAGCAAAGGGAAGCAGCUGCCACAAGUGAGUGUGAGAAUUUCCGAUGAGUAAAGGUUGGGAGAGGGACCCCUGGGACCUGGGACCCAGACCUCACAGAAAGGACUCCAGCUGGCUGGCACUGUCAUCGCUGAGAGCACCCAUGAGGCUGGCUUUGCAAUUGUUGGCAAACUGAGAAUUGGAAUGAACUACUCCUGAAGAAGGGGUGAGGGGUGGGGAGAAAAACAAAGAAUUAAAAAUAUGCUUCAAAAAGGAUGCUGACAGGGAAAAAAUGAAGCAAAGGGGGAGGCUCUGGGCUCCUUCUUCCUUCUGCAGGCAUCCAGGCUCCUCACACCCAGGAUUGUUAGAAAGAGGGAGUCAUCUGGCAAAGGACAAAUAUGGUUUGCAGAGUCAUAGCCUUUUUAUCAGAAAGCCAAUAAUAGAGAAAAGUAGGUUUGAAACAGGGCCAAUAUUUAACAAUUACCUAAGAAAAUUAAUAUUCUUAAAGCCAAGCCCAAACUUUCAAACAUCUCUCUGUAAAGUCAUUUCUGUGACAGGUGGCUACAUUCUCUUUUCUAGCUCAAUAUGGGAGUGUGUCUAGAAAAUUCUGGGUGAGUGGAUAGUUUUGCUUUCAUUGCAAGUUUCCUUUCUGCUGCGAGUGAAAGUCUCUUCUUGCUUUGUGUGUUGGAAUUAUUUGAUGUGAUCAGAAAAUUUCUCUCAUUUUCUUUAACGUGAUUUUACCAUUGUAAUAUCCACAUUGCUGCAUGUGAGUAUUUACUUUACCCGGAAUUUAAGUGCAGUUCGAUGUGCUGUGGAGGCAUACUUUUUAUGUACUAUCCCCUGCACCCCUCAGUGGGGGUGGGCAGUCAUCUCCAACAAUGCAUUGACCAACAGUUACUUCCCUUCCUGCUUUGUAAUGCCUUUCUAACAUAGGUCAAAAACAAAAAUAGGUGUGAGAUGUUGAAACAGUUCAUUCUGUUUGCUUGGCCAAGCACUACUCUUGGUUUUAUUUUUCCCUAUGUAUUUUAGGAUAAAUCUACUAGUUUACUGAAGAAAAUGAAGUUGUAAUUUUGAGUGUAAUUCAGAUUAACUUGGGAAAUAUCUUUUAUUUUCAUAAUUUUUAGUCUUCCUAUGCAUAUACAUCUUAGUUCUUAUUUUACUUCUUUUCCUUCAGUAAUAUUAGUGAAAUAUAAGUAUAUUUCUUAGUUUUGUUCCUUGGUGAAUUGGGAAUUGUAUCCUUUGGUAUGAUUAUAAAUGACAUUUUAAAAUAAAAUUUUCGUUUUAUAAUAGCAGGUGUACAGAGGAGCAGAAAAAGUAAUAAGGUUGCCGUAUGCACUCAGUCUGGGUUCCCCUCUUAUUAAUAUCUUCCAGCACUAUGGUACAUUUAUCACGAUUAGCUAACCCAUGUUUAAUAUGUUGUUAUUAAAGAAAGCUCACGCAGUCUCAGAUUUCAUUCGUUUCUCUAUGUCUGUUUUCUGUUUUCUGGAUCAUACUCAGGAUAGGAGGUUGCACUUAGUUCUUAAGACUCCUUGGAGUUCCCAUCGUGGCGCAGUGGUUAACGAAUCCGACUAGGAACCAUGAGGUUGCGGGUUCGAUCCCUGCCCUUGCUCAGUGGACUAAGGAUCCGGCGUUGCCAUGAGCUGUGGUGCAGGUUGCAGACAUGGCUCACAUCCCAUGUUGCUAUGGCUCUGGCGUAGGCCGGUGGCUAUGGCUCCGAUUCGACCCCUAGCCUGGGAACCUCCAUAUGACACAGGAGUGGCUCAAGAAAAGGCGAAAAGACAAAAAAAAAAAGAAAAAA
ensembl:lncRNA